GAUGAACGCUGGCGGCGUGCCUAAUACAUGCAAGUCGAGCGAACAGACGAGGAGCUUGCUCCUCUGACGUUAGCGGCGGACGGGUGAGUAACACGUGGAUAACCUACCUAUAAGACUGGGAUAACUUCGGGAAACCGGAGCUAAUACCGGAUAAUAUAUUGAACCGCAUGGUUCAAUAGUGAAAGACGGUUUUGCUGUCACUUAUAGAUGGAUCCGCGCCGCAUUAGCUAGUUGGUAAGGUAACGGCUUACCAAGGCAACGAUGCGUAGCCGACCUGAGAGGGUGAUCGGCCACACUGGAACUGAGACACGGUCCAGACUCCUAAGGGAGGCAGCAGUAGGGAAUCUUACGCAAUGGGCGAAAGCCUGACGGAGCAACGCCGCGUGAGUGAUGAAGGUCUUCGGAUCGUAAAACUCUGUUAUUAGGGAAGAACAAAUGUGUAAGUAACUAUGCACGUCUUGACGGUACCUAAUCAGAAAGCCACGGCUAACUACGUG
rnacentral:rRNA from 1 species